rnacentral:rRNA from 1 species
GACAGAGGGUGCAAACGUUGUUCGGAAUUACUGGGCGUAAAGCGCGUGUAGGUGGCGAGGCAAGUCGGGUGUGAAAGCCCUGGGCUCAACCCAGGAAGUGCACUCGAUACUGCCUAGCUAGAGUCCCGGAGAGGUUGGUGGAACUCUCGGUGUAGAGGUGAAAUUCGUAGAUAUCGAAGAAGAACACCGGUGGCGAAGGCGGCCAACUGGACGGUGACUGACACUGAGACGCGAAAGCGUGGGGAG